GGAACAGCUAGAAGGAAUAGUUGAAAUUGAAGUUGCUGUAAUAUUCUUCUUGCGAGAGAUUCGCAUUUUUGUGAGAUGGAAUUAUUCAGUCGAAUGUUUUGAGAAUUGGCGAGUUUUGAAGCGACAACAUGAUUUUGCUUCAAACUUGAAACGCUGUAGUGGAAAUACUGCAUUCCUCGUAUAUUUUUAUUCUAGCUAUCCGAAAAAAUUGAAAGCUCUUUGCUGUUUAUUAUACUCUCUAGCAAUCUUGUGUGAUAAAAAAGAAAACGAGGUUAUUUCAGUCUGACUAACGAAACAGAACUUGUUUAAAGUAAUUGUUAUGUUAAUUAUAUUAUUCAACCAUUUGAAUUCUAUUUUUACUCAUUUUCAUUGUUGCCACGCAGUGUGUGUAGUAUAUCAUACAGUUAACUAAGUUAAUGAAUGUAUUUCCAUACAGAUAGAACGAUUAAAUUAGGAGACUGUUUCAUAACCUAACAAUAACACACGUUCUAAAAGAACAUUUUCGGCUGUCGACUAUUAUUCCAAUUUGUUCACAUACGCGUCUACUUUGAGUAUUUAAUUAAACAAAUAAUUUACCUCUUCGUCUUUCGUCGAUGAUUAAUUAUCAUUAUCUAUGGUAAUAACGAACAAGUCGAUUUUCUAAAUUUAAAUGGUUCUCUCAUAAAACCCUGUUAUAAAAUUAUAACACUAAAAGCGAUUAUUCGCAGAAGGUUGGCUACGCGAUAUAAUUUUAACAAAUUGUUAGGUUGGUACACGAGCACGGAACUUUCCAACGGCUUCGCGACACAAAGCGCUAUAUCUUCAAAGCGUAAGGCUGACGUGCCUAAUGUGCCAUCUAUAUCCUAUGGUUCUUCCGCCGAAUGUUUGGAAGAAUGCACGCGCGGCAACCGCCGUGGUACAUCUAAUAAACGCGUGUGUAGUAGGGAUAUCGAAGGGCAACUAAGAAAAGAAUCCGUUUGGUUUCGAACAAAGAGUCAUUCUGCCUCAAGCCGCGAAGUGCGAAAGGUUCAGUAUCAUAGCGAAGCAAACACAAGCCGAGAUACGCGAUUGUAAACUCGCGAUGGUUAAUCAUAAGUGUGAAUCGUAUAAAUUGUUGACUCGUUGAUUGUUAAUAGUAAUAAACAUUUGUUGAACAUCGGAGUAUUCCUUCCGCACCUAUCACGACAUAUCACCUCAAAAUAAUUCAUAAUAAUAAUUCAUAAAUAGUUCGAAGGACAUUUGUAUGGAAAUCUCGAAGGGUCCACAGCACAUUUUGCCCGAAGUUUCACAGUCUGCGUCGAUCGUUUUACAGGUUGCAGAUAUCUCGUUAAAAGUCGAUAUAACAUGGAACACGAAAGCUGGAAUGUGUUUGAAGCUUAUAGGUCAGUGCAACUAAACCACUUUUGCCCAAAUUGUGCUAAAUGCGCUUUUGAUCGUUGUUCGAGGUUUCUAUUCGUUUAUUUAUUUCGUUUGAUUUCUCAAUGGCAUUCCUUGGUGAAACCUGCAGAACGCAUUACGAGCGCUGCAAGCGGUACGAUAUUGGGAGAAAUUGUAGCAGCCAUUUAGGACGGCCACAUCGGGCCAUCAUUUUAGCCCGAAAUUGUCCCGUUGCUGCGGCAACACGCCGUUAAAUGGUAUCGCUUCAUUUAGCGCUGCUGGCAAAGACGGCCGCGUGUACAUCUAACUGCUUUUAUCGAGCUAAGUUUAUCGACUGUUCAAACAGCCCUGUUAAUCAUCCGGACAAACUUAUCCACCGAGAAAGGGAGAUCGAUCGACGAUUAAUCUUCCUACGAUUAUCGAGUUAUCCGCUUUCCGAUCGAAUCGAACAAUUUCCAAAAGCUUUAAACGAGACAAAUUUGUCGCAUGUUCAAUCGGUAAAUUUUCACUAACGUUUAUCAUCUCGAAUAAAAAUUCGUGGAAAUAAUAAGCAUUUUCUAUGCGUCUUUAAAUAACAAGUUUACGAGAUAUUAAAGACAAAGUAGACUUUGGGCAACAAACUUUUGACCGUCCAUUUUGAAAGUUUAUUCCACUUCUAACAUUUUCUCUUUUGUUUCGGCUAAUUACUUCGUAGAGUUAUGAUUGCGUCUGUGCCAAGAUUCCAGUCGCGUCUUCUGGGUUUGUUAUAAAUUCCACUUUUAAUCCCUCUAGAAGCUUAAGUGUCUCAUUUUUCCUUAAAUUUUCUCGAACUUUCAUUUCGACGAUCAAAACCCACCUACGUUCGAAUUUUAUCAGCUAAAUAUAUCCCUUCCAUCAAAAGCGCACGUAGUUCACUCAUACACGGCCAACAUGCCAACAAGUACCAACAGCAAAACUGACAUUCGCGGACGACAUGGCUGUACUAGCCAGGCAUACUAAUGCAGAAACAGCAGUCACAUUACCACAAGAGCACAUCAGAAAAAUAGAAAAAUGGCUACGAGAUGAACAAAUAAAAGCAAACCUCAGUAAAUGCAACCAUAUUACAUUUACACUAAGAAAACGGAAACCACCAAAUAUUCAAUUGAAUGGCACGCACAUAACAUAAACAAGGCAAAUUAAAUACCUAGCACUCCACUUAGCCACACAACUUACAUGAAAUCAACAUAAUAAAUCAAUUAUAGACAAAAUACGGAUAAAAAGAAGACAAAUGUACUGGUUAACUAGUCGAAAUUCUAAACUCAGGAUAGAAAAUAAACUAAAAAUAUACAAAACGAUAGUAAAACCAAUUUGGACGUACGGCACGUCACUAUGGGGGACAGCAGCAAUGAGUCACAUAGAUAAACUAGAGUCGCUACAAUCGAAAAUACUGAGAACAAUAGUGAACGCCCUCUGGUAUGUCAGAAACGAGGAUAUAGGCAUAGACUUAAAAAUACCAACGGUGAAAGAAAAAAUCUGGCUAAUGAAACGAGCAAAACUCUCAUAGAAAGAAGACUAAAAAGAAAACGCCCCACUGACCUCACUGAAGAAACAAAAUAGUCAAACUGGAGGAUAGUAUCUCGCAGGGUAGCCACCUUUUAUUAUUUAGCAAUAAAGCUAGAAAAAAUUACCAAAUGUCCAGCUGGACAAAUUAUAAAGUACAAAUUACGUAAUAAAAAAAAAAAAUAUUGUUCGAUGUCUCAUUUUCGUGUCCUAAAACAGUCUCAACGUAUCCUCGCCAUGGAAGUGCGCCUCUCCAGCGAAAGAAAAUCGCGCGAGACGUAAAUCGAGGAAACGUGGUCCCUGCAGACUGAGCAGAGUAAGAUAUUGAUAAAGAGUAGCUCGGUGGCGCGUUUCCAAUGUAAAGUGGGCCGAGACCGGUCGUGUUCCCGCAUAUAAACCCUGUGUCCCACGACAGUACUGCUUAACCUAUUUAUUCGCGGAGAAGAACCGGCUCCGUGGAUCUUAGCUCGAAAGUCCCUUGUUCGCCGUGAUCGAAAUUGGAUUACAGCCAUUUUGAUGGUCCUGGUUCGAUCAACCAUUUGUGCCUUUUCCUUCGCGCCCAAUUACAAUGGACAGCGAGAUCCUCUGUGACCGAAGAAGCGGAACGAAGAAAGGGCAGAGAGUGGGUUGCUGGCAAAUGGAAAGCCGGCUUACCCUCCGAAAUUACGGCCACUCUCAUUAUACCGGGCUGGUAUUACGUUUGCCCUGGAAACCUAGUUGAAUGAACGGGUUCGAUGUGAUUGGUGGACAGACGCGUGGCCGGCCUUGAUGGAAAAGUGCGUUUGGUUAUUAGUUUCGGUGGUUUCCUAGUUUGGAAAGCUUGUAGCAAUAUUGGAAACAAGGGAAGUAUGCUGGGUCGUAAUGGAUUAUCUCGAUCUCGCCUGUUUUGGCUGCAAUUAUUCAGAUAUGUGUAAUUUUGUGUGCUACACUGAAUUAGCUGCGUAGUAGUGAUACACAUAUAUGAGUAUGAGUGUGUGGAAGUAUGGGCGUGCGCAGUGUCUCGUAGAACAGAAAAAUGCAACUUGUUGAAGUAAUUACUUCAAGAAAAACUCCUUUGUUUUUGUAUAUCCGUGACCUGGAGACCGCUGCUAAGAAGAAAAUAGAAUUUAGUGAAGAAAUUCGAAAUAAGUAGGGAUGCACAUUAUUGCGCCCUUGAAUAUAAAUGUUGUUUUGGGUUACAAGGUCUAAAAACAAAGGAGUUAUAAAUAGAUUUCUAUUUAUGUUUCUUGAAGCCUUCAGCCACAGUUACAAGGUUAACUUUUUUGGUAAUGUCCUUUGUUAUAAAUAUAUGAACGUGCUUCCUAUCAUAGCUUCUACUAUUGUAUUGUAACGCUAUAAGAGUAAGGAUCUGGAUUAGCAUACGCUAUACUUAUACAUAUACUUAUUUCAACAUAUUUUUCUAUUACAAAUUCAUCCACUCGUUCCUCUAUCACUUAACCUCAACAAUAUCCCACAUUAAAUUAAUAACUAUGAUAACAGUGAUAACAAUUUAUUUGAUUUUGACCUCAUACACUAUACCUGUACUUAUACUUAUGUCUAUACUUAUUUCAAUAUACUUUCCUGUUCCACUUCAUCCACUGAUCCCUCUGUCACUUAACCUCGACAAUAUCAUAUAUCAAAUUAAUAAAUAGUGAUAAUAAUUUAUUUGAUUUUCAUUUCAUACACUAUACGUGUACUUAUACUUGUUUCAAUAUAUUUUUCCAUUACAAAUUCAUCCACUCGUUGCUUUGUCAGACAACCUCUACAAUAUGACAUAUUAAAUUAAUAAAUAAUGGUAACAAUUUAUUUGAUUUUGACCUCAUACACUAUACCUGUACUUAUACUUAUGCCUAUACUUAUUUCAAUAUACUUUCCUGUUCCACUUCAUCCACUGAUCCCUCUGUCACUUAACCUCGACAAUAUCAUAUAUCAAAUUAAUAAAUAGUGAUAAUAAUUUAUUUGAUUUUCAUUUCAUACACUAUACGUGUACUUAUACUUGUUUCAAUAUAUUUUUCCAUUACAAAUUCAUCCACUCGUUGCUUUGUCAGACAACCUCUACAAUAUGACAUAUUAAAUUAAUAAAUAAUGGUAACAAUUUAUUUGAUUUUGACCUCAUACACUAUACCUGUACUUAUACUUAUGCCUAUACUUAUUUCAAUAUACUUUCCUGUUCCACUUCAUCCACUGAUCCCUCUGUCACUUAACCUCGACAAUAUCAUAUAUCAAAUUAAUAAAUAGUGAUAAUAAUUUAUUUCAUUUUCAUUUCAUACACUAUACAUGUACUUAUACUUGUUUCAAUAUAUUUUUCCAUUACAAAUUCAUCCACUCGUUGCUUUGUCAGUCAACCUCUACAAUAUGAUAUAUUAAAUUAAUAAAUAAUGGUAACAAUUUAUUUGAUUUUGACCUCAUACACUAUACCUGUACUUAUACUUAUGCCUAUACUUAUUUCAAUAUACUUUCCUGUUCCACUUCAUCCACUGAUCCCUCUGUCACUUAACCUCGACAAUAUCAUAUAUCAAAUUAAUAAAUAGUGAUAAUAAUUUAUUUGAUUUUCAUUUCAUACACUAUACGUGUACUUAUACUUGUUUCAAUAUAUUUUUCCAUUACAAAUUCAUCCACUCGUUGCUUUGUCAGUCAACCUCUACAAUAUGAUAUAUUAAAUUAAUAAAUAAUGGUAACAAUUUAUUUGAUUUUGACCUCAUACACUAUACCUGUACUUAUACUUAUGCCUAUACUUAUUUCAAUAUACUUUUCUAUUCCACUUCAUCCACUGGUCCCUCUAUCACUUAACCUCGACAAUAUCAUAUAUCAAAUUAAUAAAUAGUGAUAAUAAUUUAUUUGAUUUUCAUUUCAUACACUAUACGUGUACUUAUACUUGUUUCAAUAUAUUUUUCCAUUACAAAUUCAUCCACUCGUUGCUUUGUCAGUCAACCUCUACAAUAUGAUAUAUUAAAUUAAUAAAUAAUGGUAACAAUUUAUUUGAUUUUGACCUCAUACACUAUACCUGUACUUAUACUUAUGCCUAUACUUAUUUCAAUAUACUUUUCUAUUCCACUUCAUCCACUGGUCCCUCUAUCACUUAACCUCGACAAUAUCAUAUAUCAAAUUAAUAAAUAGUGAUAAUAAUUUAUUUGAUUUUCAUUUCAUACACUAUACGUGUACUUAUACUUGUUUCAAUAUAUUUUUCCAUUACAAAUUCAUCCACUCGUUGCUUUGUCAGUCAACCUCUACAAUAUGAUAUAUUAAAUUAAUAAAUAAUGGUAACAAUUUAUUUGAUUUUGACCUCAUACACUAUACCUGUACUUAUACUUAUGCCUAUACUUAUUUCAAUAUACUUUUCUGUUCCACUUCAUCCACUCGUCCCUCUAUCACUUAACCUCAACAAUAUCAUACAUCAAAUUAAUAAAUAAUCGCAACAGUUUAUUUGAUCUUAACCUCAUACACUAUACUUAUACUUAUUUCAAUAUACUUUUCUAUUCCACUUCAUCCACUGGUCCCUCUAUCACUUAACCUCAACAAUAUCAUACAUCAAAUUAAUAAAUAAUCGCAACAGUUUAUUUGAUCUUAACCUCAUACACUAUACUUAUACUUAUUUCAAUAUAUUUUUCUAUUACAAGUUCGUUCACUCGUUUCUCUAUCACUUAACCUGAACAAUAUCAUACCUCAAAUUAAUAACUAGUGAUAACAAUUUAUUUGAUUUUCAUCUCAUACACUAUACCUGUACUUAUACUUAUUUCAAUGUAUUUUCUAUUACAAAUUCAUCCAAUCGUUCCUCUAUCAGUUAACCUCAACGCAACUGUUCUGUACGCAUAGUGAUAGAAAGAUGGUGAAACAAAAAGAGUGCUGAGACGAGUGCAAUGUAUAUCCACGAAUAUCUUGUAAAUCACAUAUUAAAUAAAUAUGAAACUAUUUUAAUAUCA